GUCUCCCUGUCUCUCUGACCUUCCCCCAUUCAUGCUCUGUCUCUCUCUCUCUCUCUGUCUCAAAAAAUGAAUAAACGUUAAAAAAAAAAUUUAAAAGAAGCUAAGAAAUAUGAAUCUCGCUUCCAAAAGGGAAUCAACUUUUAAUUAAAAGGAAACUGCAGAGCAAGUCACAUGAAACAACACUUUGUUUCUUCAAGCAGUAAAUCGGCCGCCUCUGUGCUAACAUUCAGAGCAUUGCCACCUUCUCGUCUGUUUGGAACUUUAUUUGGGGCAUGUUUUGGUUGUCACAGUGACUGGGCUGUGCCAUUUAGGUUUUGUGAGUGGGGUCCAGAAAUUCUUCACGUUAUGGUAUCUUAUCUGCCACACAUUGUGUAUUGUACAGGCAGUUGUACAGAGGAAGAAUUUUUCCACCCAAAAGGCUACCUCUGGUCCCUUUGGAAAACACUGAAGCAAAGAACGGGGCGUCUUUCCAACGCAGGGAGACAAAGCGGGACGAAUCCAUUAGAGACGGACACGACACACACCACGAGGCUGACGUGGCUCCGAUGCCGUGGCGGCCGUGUAAGUAAACCCGAGGGUAAGCCCGUCGGUGCCUCCUCACUUUGCUGCUGCUCUGCUCCGCGGCCCUGCUCAGCUGCUGGGGGCCUUCCUGGCUGCUUCCGGCCUCGCGCCGCCUGAGUCAAUCCAGUUGUGCUUCAGUAAAGUCUUAAAAUGUUUAA